rnacentral:rRNA from 1 species
GUCUACUGCCAUGCCACCCUGAAUGUGCCUGAUCUUGGAAGCUAAGCAGGGGUGGAAUAUCUUGGUACUUGGAAGGGAGAAGGAUAUUUGAUUUGGCA